GCCACUCCUUGACUCAGGACCGUGACCAGGGCUCUGUGACCUUCUGCUGACAGUACUUCACCUGGAAGAACUGACACACUGUCCAGGGACAAGCAGACAAGCCAAGCAGAAGCACUUACUCUGGAACUUCAGAAACUUCAGAAAGCCAAAUCCAGCUGUGUUGGAGGAAUGCAGUAGGGUGACUGCACCAUACACAGCAAACACUCCCUAAGAGGGCAGCAGAAUACAUGAAUGUGCAACCUAAGCCUUUCUUUGAAGCAAGACUGAAUGAAGAUCACAAGCCAUCACUGCUUGCAGACAACUAUAGGAAGAGACUUCUUCAGAUACGAAACAGGAAUCCACCCUCCAAAAACCAUAUUGGGAAUAGGAGGCGAUCAGUUGUGACUUCAUCCCAAUACAUUUCUGCAUGCCUACUCAUACAGCUAUCACUUAAACAGACCCAGGCAUGGGUCUAUCUUCCUACAGCCUUAUACCUUCUGAUGGAGAAAGAAGAUGCCUUAAUUGUACCUUCUUACACAGUCUUUAGGAACAUUUCUAAUCUCAGCUGCUUCAUAGUCACUCUUGCUGCAAGUAGAAAAUUAUGUAAAUGGUGGCUGUUACAGUAUUCUGCCAAUCUAUUUCUAUCCAUGCGCUACUGUUAAAAAAUUACUCAUCUUCCAUUGCAAACAGUGAAAUAUUUUAUGUACAGUGGUGCCUGUCAUAUAUGCUUAACUUGCUUUUCAUUCCAAAACGUGGUACAAAGAGAAAACGAUGUGCAUUUCUAGAGAAAUAAAUAUCAAAAAAGU